rnacentral:tRNA from 1 species
GGACACAAUGGGUCAGUGUGUCUUGCUGUUAACCAGAAGAUUAGUGGUUCGAGCCCAUCCAGGGACA